rnacentral:tRNA from 1 species
GCGAGUGCGGCUUUCUGCCCUCCGAAGGCAGGGGUUGCUGGUUCGAUCCCAGCCGGGCGCGCCA